rnacentral:pre_miRNA from 1 species
AUUCGAAUCACCUGGAGAUCUUGUUAAAAUUCGGAAUCUGAUUUAGUCAGAUUCUGCCUUUCUAAUAAGCUCCCAGGUGAUGCCAGU